ACAUUUGUCAUCAUAAGCGAUAUUCAAGUAUGUCUUUAUCACUCUGACUUUGCGUAGGUUCUCUGAGAAUAUCACUAUAUAUAUACACAUACUGAGGCACGUUGUUUGAAUAAUAGCCCAUGAGCCUUUCUGGUCAUCCCUUUAAUAUUAUCCCUUGUUAACCCCGUUGAGCCUAUAUCCUUUGUUUGUAUGUAUAACCACAUGAAUGUAACCCGAGGCCCAAAC
rnacentral:lncRNA from 1 species